UCACCAAAGAUAGUUCAGUCAGCAGAGCAUGAGACGCUUAAUCUCAGGGUUAUGGGUUCAAGCCCUAGGCUGGGCAAAA